AUGAAGGCUGAAGGGGAAAAGGAUGGCUAUGAAUGUGUUGCUGUCGAAGGUGAAGAGCAAAGAGGAUGGAGGUUAAUGGUGUUUGAUGUGUGUGGAGAAGGGAAUCCUUAUGUUGCUCAAACUAGACAAAACCUUCUACAAUGCAAUGUUACAUUAGAGAAGGAUUGGAACACUCUCAUAUACGUACAGGACUGGAUUCAAGAAUUAAAUCAAGGUUUCAAGAAAUCUAGUUUAGGAGAUCAAUGCACUCACAGAUACAAGAUAUACAUAGAAUGUUGGGCUUGGUUGAAGCAAUGCGCAAUGAAGUUGCAGAGCUAUCCAAUUUGCAGAAGAUGA